AAUGGGUCAGCGACUUAUAUUCUGUAGCAAGGUUAACCGAAUAGGGGAGCCGAAGGGAAACCGAGUCUUAACUGGGCGUUAAGUUGCAGGGUAUAGACCCGAAACCCGGUGAUCUAGCCAUGGGCAGGUUGAAGGUUGGGUAACACUAACUGGAGGACCGAACCGACUAAUGUUGAAAAAUUAGCGGAUGACUUGUGGCUGGGGGUGAAAGGCCAAUCAAACCGGGAGAUAGCUGGUUCUCCCCGAAAGCUAUUUAGGUAGCGCCUCGUGAAUUCAUCUCCGGGGGUAGAGCACUGUUUCGGCAAGGGGGUCAUCCCGACUUACCAACCCGAUGCAAACUGCGAAUACCGGAGAAUGUUAUCACGGGAGACACACGGCGGGUGCUAACGUCCGUCGUGAAGAGGGAAACAACCCAGACCGCCAGCUAAGGUCCCAAAGUCAUGGUUAAGUGGGAAACGAUGUGGGAAGGCCCAGACAGCCAGGAUGUUGGCUUAGAAGCAGCCAUCAUUUAAAGAAAGCGUAAUAGCUCACUGGUCGAGUCGGCCUGCGCGGAAGAUGUAACGGGGCUAAACCAUGCACCGAAGCUGCGGCAGCGACACUAUGUGUUGUUGGGUAGGGGAGCGUUCUGUAAGCCUGUGAAGGUGUGCUGUGAGGCAUGCUGGAGGUAUCAGAAGUGCGAAUGCUGACAUAAGUAACGAUAAAGCGGGUGAAAAGCCCGCUCGCCGGAAGACCAAGGGUUCCUGUCCAACGUUAAUCGGGGCAGGGUGAGUCGACCCCUAAGGCGAGGCCGAAAGGCGUAGUCGAUGGGAAACAGGUUAAUAUUCCUGUACUUGGUGUUACUGCGAAGGGGGGACGGAGAAGGC
rnacentral:rRNA from 1 species